rnacentral:miRNA from 1 species
GAGAUUGAUCUCUCUCUCUCUCUCUCUCUCUCUCUCUCUCUCUCUCUCUCUGUGUGUGUGUGUGUGUGGGGGGAGAGAGAGAGAGAGAGAGAGAGAGAGAGAGAGAGAGAGAGAGAGAGAGAAAGAGAGA